rnacentral:lncRNA from 1 species
AACAGUAACUUCGAUACUAGAUGAAAAUAUUUUUUUGCCAUUGGAGCUUCAUUUAAAACAAUUUUGCUCGUCGAAUCACCUUCAUAAAACUAUUUUCUGAAUUUUUUUUGUCUUAAAGUUUUUUAUCAUUAACGUGUUGUACUCAAUUUUUCACCAACACUAAUUUUUUCGAAACUAUACUUGUUUUACAAGCAAGUACAACACAACUGACAACAAGUACAUAUAGAAACUUGAGUACGGUGUUGAGUACAAAGUCGAUAGCCAACAAGCAUAUAAAAAACCAGUACAAAACAACAAAAAUAAAUACUAAAAGAAUAAAAAAAUAAGUACAUAAAAAGUGAAUAUAAAAAAUUAAAACGACACUAAAAUAAAUAUGAGUACAAAAAAACUUUAAUACAAUACAAGAUAAUAAACUUGAAUACAUAAAUUGAUACAAUGUUGAU